CCCUUAGAUGUUCUGGGCCGCACGCGUGCUACACUGAGUGGAUCAGCGGGUGAGGUUGCGCGAAAGUGUUUCCUAAUCUUUAAAUCCGCUCGUGAUGGGGAUUGACGGUUGCAAUUUUCCGUCAUGAACGAGGAAUACCUUGUAAGCGCGGGUCAUCAUCCCGCGCUGAAUACGUCCCUGCCCUUUGUACACACCGCCCGUCGCUCCUACCGAUUGAGUGGUCCGGUGAGGCUUUGGGAUCUGAGCGGAAAGAGCGUUUCGCUGUUUCUGCUCGGAAAACUCAGUCGAACCUUAUCAUUUAGAGGAAGGAGAAGUCGUAACA
rnacentral:rRNA from 1 species